GGUGGAGAAUGAUAGACCGGAGGUGGUGGGAGUGGUAUACUGGUGGUGGUGGAGAGUAGACGGGAGGUGGAUAGUAUACUUUCUUUGGUGGUGGUGGAGAGUAGACGGGAGGAGGGUAGUAUACCUUCUUCGGUGGUGGUGGAGAGUAGACGGGUGGUGGGUAGUAUACCUUCUUCGGUGGUGGUGGAGAGUAGACGGGUGGUGGGUAGUAUACCUUCUUCGGUGGUGGUGGAGAGUAGACGGGUGGUGGGUAGUAUACCUUCUUCGGUGGUGGUGGUGAGUAGACGGGGGGUGGGUAGUAUACCUUCUUCGGUGGUGGUGGUGAGUAGACGGGAGGUGGGUAGUACACCUUCUUCGGUGGUGGUGGUGAGUAGACGGGAGGUGGGUAGUACACCUUCUUCGGUGGUGGUGGUGAGUAGACGGGAGGUGGGUAGUAUACCUUCUUUGGCGGUGGUGGUGAGUAGACUGGUGGUGGGUAGUAUACUUUCUUUGGUGGUGGAGGAGACUUAUAGACGGGUGGUGGAUAGUAUACCUUCUUGGGAGGUGGGGGAGACUUGUAGACUGGAGGUGGGUAGUAUACCUUCUUUGGUGGUGGAGGAGACUUAUAGACGGGAGGAGGGUAGUAUACCUUCUUGGGAGGUGGGGGAGACUUGUAGACGGGAGGUGGGUAGUACACCUUCUUGGGAGGUGGGGGAGACUUGUAGACGGGAGGUGGGUAGUACACCUUCUUGGGAGGCGGGGGAGACUUGUAGACGGGAGGUGGGUAAUACACCUUCUUAGGUGGCGGAGGAGACUUGUAGACGGGAGGUGGGUAAUAAACCUUCUUGGGUGGCGGAGGAGACUUGUAGACAGGAGGUGGGUAAUACACCUUCUUUGGUGGUGGUGGAGAGUAAACUGGUGGUGGAUAGUAAACCUUCUUGGGUGGUGGUGGAGAGUGAUACACUGGAG
rnacentral:lncRNA from 1 species